rnacentral:rRNA from 1 species
AGCGAACGCUGGCGGCAGGCUUAACACAUGCAAGUCGAACGGGCACUUCGGUGCCAGUGGCAGACGGGUGAGUAACACGUGGGAACGUACCUUUCGGUUCGGAAUAAUCCAGGGAAACUUGGACUAAUACCGGAUACGCCCUUCGGGGGAAAGAUUCAUCGCCGAUAGAUCGGCCCGCGUCUGAUUAGCUAGUUGGUGAGGUAAUGGCUCACCAAGGCGACGAUCAGUAGCUGGUCUGAGAGGAUGAUCAGCCACAUUGGGACUGAGACACGGCCCAAACUCCUACGGGAGGCAGCAGUGGGGAAUAUUGGACAAUGGGCGCAAGCCUGAUCCAGCCAUGCCGCGUGAGUGAUGAAGGCCUUAGGGUUGUAAAGCUCUUUUGUCCGGGAAGAUAAUGACUGUACCGGAAGAAUAAGCCCCGGCUAACUUCGUG